CUCUAGCAUUUUUUUGUAGAAAAGACCUGGUGUUGAUGAAGUUCUGCAGCUUUUGUCUGGAUGCUGCUAGGAACGUUGUGUCCUGUCUGUGAGCUCCUAUGUGCUGAGCAAAUGAACAUAGCAUGUGACUUUUGGAAGAAUGAUUCAGAGACCACUUUGGAAAAAAGAUGUGCUUUUACCAGACACAAAUGAAGAUCACAUGAUUUGUCCAGUGUUUCCUCCAAGCCCUCAAAUUGUAAGAGAACCCAAGUCACUAAACGUCAAAGGUGCACAUCUAUUAUGGGUCAGCAAUGAGCUUUGCUUGCUCAUGGAAAUCACCAGGAAAUUCAAGCCGGAGGCUCCAUCCUGACAAACCCAGAGGCAGAACAUAACUAACCACGCAGGG